rnacentral:rRNA from 1 species
AAAGCGUGCGCAGGCGGUUUUGUAAGUCUGAUGUGAAAUCCCCGGGCUCAACCUGGGAAUUGCAUUGGAGACUGCAAGGCUAGAAUCUGGCAGAGGGGGGUAGAAUUCCACGUGUAGCAGUGAAAUGCGUAGAUAUGUGGAGGAACACCGAUGGCGAAGGCAGCCCCCUGGGUCAAGAUUGACGCUCAUGCACGAAAGCGUGGGGAGCAAACAGGAUUAGAUACCCUGGU